ACGGCGCUUCCAUCAAUGUCAAUCUAUCAGGCUGAAAUCCUCCAUUUGUAUAGAGUUGAAAUUCAAGCUUUUCUUGUCUAUUCAUCACCCGUUCAUGUUAAAGAUAUAUUCUAAAUAUAUUAUUAAGUUAUUGCAUUGAUUCUAAAUAUAUUAUAGAGAUCUAGGGAUACAUAAAUUGCGAAUUCACGCAACCCAAGUUGUUUUUUCCAAUAUAUAUCUAUGAGCGUCGAACCAAAACUUGAUUCAUGGAGUUUCAUCACUAGAUCUAUGGGUCAAUCUAGCAGGCUGCAAUUCGCCGUUUGUAAAGAGUUGAAAGUUCAAACUUUUCCUGUCGCUUCAUCACCCGUUCAUAUUAAAGAUAUAUUCUAAAUAUAUUAUUAAGUUAUUGCAUUGAUUCUGAUGAAAUUCUAGAGAUCCAUGGAUACAGAAAUUAUCUAUGAGCGUCGAACCAAAACUUUAUUCAUGGAGUAUCAUCACAAAUGCGAUUGAAUGAAAAUCGUCAACGAUGUGCUAUAUUUCUACUUCUUAUCUGUUGUGCUAUGUUUUUAUCAUUUUUGA